AGAACAGAGAGCUGCAAGGACACACUCCGCUUCCAUUUGAUUGUGGGACACUUUAAUUUCUUCAUUCUGUGGCGGCGGCAGCGGCGGCACGACGGAGAUGAACAUCCGCUAAUCACCUGCACGUCCAUCACAUCGACCUCCUCCUCCUCCUCCUCCUCCUCCUCCCACGAUUCCCUGCACAGGAUUGAGUUUGGGCUGGGGGUGAAACUGUUGACCCCUCCACCUCCUCUCAGGUGAGAAAAAAGGAGGGAUUUUCUUUCUAUUCUGUCUCCUUCCGUCUCUUUCAUCACCUCGCUUGUAAUUAGCCGGAGCUGAGAUUUUUCUCUUUUGUCGGCGCUCUGAAAGGUGGAUAAGCGUCCUUUGUGCCUUCUCACACCUUUUUUAUUUCUUUUAACAAGUUUUUUUUUCUUUCUUUCUUUUUUUUAAGACGAACCUCAGAGCCAGCCGCUGCCGUCUCAGAAGGAAGCUGAUAACCAAGAGGGAGUUUCUACUUCUCUCUUUUGCCGCCGUCUUUAUCUCCCAGGACACAAUUAGCUGCUCUAUCGCUCAUCACCAUGCCGGUAUUUUUCCUCUCUCUCUCUCUCUCUGUCUCUCUCUCUCUCUCUGCCUUUUCUCUCUUUUUCUCUGCAUUUAAAAGACGCCGUUCUUUGUCGAGGUUCACUCUUGAAAAGUUGAAAGCACAUUUGGGUCUGCAGUGGAAGAAACACAACUGUGUGUGCAGAGAUAAAAUGGUCUCAAACUGCUUUGUUCAAAACAGAAACAGCAGCAUCCUGAAUUUAUCCAUUUAAAGAAGAUCUCACUGAAGCACAAAGACUCAAGUUAGUUUUCUGCCCCAAGUUUUAAGUCUUCUCACUCUUCACCUCCGGCUCUGCGCCGUGUUAAAGAGAACUGUCUUGGCUCCUUUUAUGCCGUACCUUCACAUCAUCGGAUUAUUUGUAGCUUCCUGAACAGCUGCCGGUUCCUCGCUUGAUCGGGUUUUCCUCAUUAACCGAACUAAUAAAAGAAUUAUGGGAUAAAUGAACUCCCUAAUGUCUGCAAAGGGGCGCCGAAUUCCCAAUUCAGUUCUGACAUCCACGGAUCCCCCAGCAUGUGAACCCUGUCAGUGGACCCAAAGGGGGUCUCCUCUCUCAGGGAGAAUCCCAGUGUGCACUUUUUCAGUUUCUAUAAGACCGAGACAUGACUGUGACAUUUAGGGAUCAGGACCAGGUCAAAACCAAGACCGAGACCAGGUCAAAACCAAGACCCAGACCAGGUCAAGAUGAAGGUUUCUAUCGGUCUGCCGUCUCUUGAUGCUUUCUCUUUAAAACCCGCGUCAUACCCCCGCUGACUGAAAAACUAAACACCAAUUUCACGCCCUGAUAUUUGCUUUUAUGAACCAUUUUCUUAUAAUGAUCAAAUUUGUGUUGCAAAAAAACACAAGAACUGGAUUUGUGUAAAAACACAUGAAUGGACUGCACAGUUACAAAAGGCUGAAGGUAUUUAAAGGGUUAAAAAGUUAAACAGAUGUGAAAACAUGUUAAAAAAGUCACUGAGACUAACCCACUGAGCAUGUUUUGGUCUAAUAGACGUCUAAAUGUAGCCUUGACGACUGGUCUAAAAUCAGCCAACCACAAUGAAGUUUUCUAGAAAUUUAGACUAAGUCUAAACCUGGGCUAUAUCUAAACUACACUGUAUAUCGCUCAAUGGCUAUCAUAAUGAUUCUGGUUAAGUUCUUGGAGAUCAGUUUUGCAACUCAUAGUUGCUUUCUGAAGUAAAUAGUUAUCAAAUAAUUAUAAAAGUGCAGCGUCUAAAUUCCACCUAAAAAUAUACAGAAUCUAGACGGUUGAAAUUUGGUCUAAAAUAAAAACUAGACGUCUGAUAGCCUCUAGUCUGAUGCUCAGUGGGAAAUAACAGCUCAUUCUAAGAAUGAGGUACAGUGUUUAAAAACGGAUCCCUCAAUGUUUUAUUUACUUUUAUGUCUUUAAAAGCAACAUGACGUUAAAUUUGAGUCUGCUCUUAUUUUCUAUGUACUUCAUCAGGCCACUAGAGGGCGCAUGGUCUCAUUUACACCGAUCUUGAUUUAAAUAACUUUUGAUUUCGAGAGAAGGUUAAAAGACUUCUUCAGAUUGAUCUCGAGUACCUCAGUACUAGUCCAGCAGCACAUUCUUGGUGUCGGAUUUGCUUUUGUGUCUCUAAAAGUUUCAGCAGGUUCAGGUUUUAAUAAACAAAGACCGUCUCAAACACCAAUAACACCACGACGGAGGACAAAAUAAACAGGAUUCAAGACUGUUAUAAACGACCAGCAGAAACAAAUCAACACAGACACGAGUUUAAACACCACAGCGAGAAAAAUUAAGACCCAUAAUAGUUAAUUAUUUUUUAUUUCUAACCUGCACACAACAUCGUCUCUUUUUACUUCAGCUCGAAGUCGAUGGACCAUCAAGAGAGCAUCAUAUGAUUCUGUGCAUUUUAGUGCUCUCAAAGUUAACAAAUUCAGCCGUACAUUUGGACCUAAUCCAUCUCACUUUAAAGAUUCAUAAUCAUCGCAAAACUAAAAUGAAAACAAUUCCAGACCCUGAAGGUGUAGUGGACCCCGGAUCACCAGCCUAAGACGAUGUGACUCGAGUUAAAUGAAACCCGAGUUUGGAGUCCGAGCAGCAGGAUGGUGACCAGUCUUCACUCAGUAAAUGUGUAAAAAAACAAGUAAAUGUAAAAAUAUAAAGUUAAAACAAUAAAAAAAGAUAUUUGAGGGAGUGGAUAUGAGCUCUUAUUCACAUGGAUGUCUGCUGAAGAAGAAACACUCAUUUUUCACCUGUUUAUCUUCACUGUUAUCCGUCACCACCUUCAGGGCAGCCGAUGAUUUCAGACGCCGAGUUUCUCCGUCUCUCCGGAUCCCUGAUUCAGUUUUUACUUUUUAAAUUUAGCUUUUUUGUUUUUGUUGUUUGUGUCUCCUCGUCUUUCUGGUUUUUCCAGUCUCUGAAUUUUGAAAUUAGCCUUUUUGACGUGGGAGCGAUGUGAGUGAUCUCCGGCCUCUCUUCUGUUUAUCCCAUUUUUUAAUCUUUUCAUGUGUUUUUAACGAUGUAAACAAACAUCCAGCCUGAUGCUCCGCGCUUCAUCUGCAGUCAGAGAGCAAACGGGCAAUUAAAAGUGAAGCUGUGAAGCUGAACGGCGUUCAUACAGAUUAAGAGACAGCACCAUGAGGAGCCAGGAUUUGCCUGUGAUAAAUGAAACUAAUAGCAGAUCCGUCAGUAAAUGAAACAAACUGUUUAAAGGGUUUUAACAAGCAGCAGUAUCUCCUGUGAGUUUGAUCGUCUGGGGCUCGUUUCU
rnacentral:lncRNA from 1 species